rnacentral:rRNA from 1 species
GACGAACGCUGGCGGCGUGCUUAACACAUGCAAGUCGAACGAUGAAGCCGGAGCUUGCUCUGGUGAAUUAGUGGCGAACGGGUGAGUAACACGUGAGUAACCUGCCCUUGACUCUGGGAUAACUGCUAGAAAUGGUAGCUAAUACCGGAUACGACUCUCGGAGGCAUCUCCAGGGGGUGGAAAGAAUUUCGGUCAAGGAUGGACUCGCGGCCUAUCAGCUAGUUGGUGAGGUAAUGGCUCACCAAGGCGACGACGGGUAGCCGGCCUAGGAGGGUGACCGGCCACACUGGGACUGAGACACGGCCCAGACUCCUACGGGAGGCAGCAGUGGGGAAUAUUGCACAAUGGGCGCAAGCCUGAUGCAGCAACGCCGCGUGAGGGAUGACGGCCUUCGGGUUGUAAACCUCUUUUAGUAGGGAAGAAGCGAAAGUGACGGUACCUGCAGAAAAAGCACCGGCUAACUACGUGCCAGCCGCCGCCGUAA